rnacentral:misc_RNA from 1 species
GAUGAAGAACGCAGCGAAAUGCGAUAACUAGUGUGAAUUGCAGAAUUCAGUGAAUCAUCGAAUCUUUGAACGCACAUUGCGCCCGUCAGUAUUCUGGCGGGCAUGCCUGUUCGAGCGUCAUUACGCCCCUCAAGUCCCCUGUGGACUUGGUGUUGGGGAUCGGCGAGGCUGGUUUUCCAGCACAGCCGUCCCUUAAAUUAAUUGGCGGUCUCGCCGUGGCCCUCCUCUGCGCAGUAGUAAAACACUCGCAACAGGAGCCCGGCGCGGUCCACUGCCGUAAAACCCCCCAACUUUUUAUAGUUGACCUCGAAUCAGGUAGGACUACCCGCUGAACUUAAGCAUAUCAAUAAGCGGAGGA